AAGCCUUUUUUCUUCCACGCUGUUGCUCUGAACUUUUUACCUCCACUAGAGGGCGACAUCAUCCAGUAGGCGGUGCACUACUUCUGCUCUGUGUUCAACCAUUCUGUCAAUAAUAACUGCUGCUGUGAAGAGAACAACUCUCACACUGAAUGUUGAACAGCAGCUAGUUUCUCCUGUUCAUUUAAACCUUGUUGCAGAGAUGGAACAUCGGCUGUGGAUUAUUCUUGCUGCUCUGUUCUGUGAGUGUAAAGGAGCAGACAGAGUGAUCCAGCCAACAGGAGAUGUCAUUGCUGCUGAAGGAGACACAGUUACACUGGACUGCACAUUUGAGACCAGCAGAGCAGAUCCAACUUUGUUCUGGUACAAACAGGAUGGAAACAACAGCCCCAAAUUCAUACUGAACCGUCCUAAGUUUGGUGAGGGGAACACAGAAAAGGAAUAUGAGGACAGAUUUUCAUCCACACUGGAUUCCACCUCAAACUCAGUUCCUCUGAAGAUCCAGAAGCUUCAGCUGUCUGACUCUGCUGUGUACUACUGUGCUCUGCAGCCCACAGUGACAGGAAACACCAAAACUCUGUACAAAAACCUUUGGAGCAAAGACAACACAAUACUCCACAACAUCCACUAGAGGGAGUCACACACUGUUAAACUUCAGCUGGAUGUGAUGAUAAAGUCUGGAGUGUUUUUGUAGUGGGUUGGGAAUGCCAUAUACAAAGUUUUAAUAUAAACAGACACCCCCCCAUUUUUUGUUAAUUUGUGAACUAUACUAAUCAUUUAUUUGUACAGUUUCCACCAACAGUCGCGCACUAAUACGCCAAUAGAUGGUGCUGUAGUUCCACUGUGGGUCCAUUGGGGAGCGUAAAGUGAGACGCACCGCUCAUGCGCAGCUCAGAAAUAAAUGGCUCCGGCAUGGGCGAGACGCUAAUUUUGGUCCUCUCCUUAAUGAUCCACAGGUAAAGUAAAAACUUGUUUUUCUGUGUUUAAAUUGGUGUCAGAGUUAGGCACAAAUGCAGUAUUAAGAGUUAUGAGAUUUUCGGAUGAGUUUGAGAUGUGUGUGUGUUUCACGAGCGACCAGUAUUUUGUAAUGAAUCGCCUCAGUCAGUGGCGCCAUGUUGAGACGUUUGUUUUGUAUGCUUAAAGAGAGUUUUCAUGAGUUUUCAUGAGCUUUUGUAAUCGUUAUAUUUUCAUACUGUACAGAAAUGUGUUGAUAUGGUUGUAAACAUGGUAACUAGCCAGUGGUAAGUGGGUUAAGCUAUGAGAUAUGUUGUGUUUAGACUUGUUUUGUAAAUGUGGUCGCGCCAUGUUUCUGUGUGCAAAGGCGGGGAGAACGUGAUGUGUGAUGUGUGUCUAGAGGUUUCCUAGGUCAGUUGUUAAUAUAGUUUUAAUGUAAUUGUGUGUAAUUUAUGUUGAAUUUAUGUGCAUUUAAUUUCCUUUGGGUUUAAUAUUUUAUGUUAUAAAUUGUCAGUGGUUAGCUUUAUGUGUGAAUGAGUUUAUGAAACGUUUUGAUAUUAAUGUUAUUUUAAUUUUUCAGAUUUAGUUAUAAUGUAAAUGAGAUUGAAUCUUUGUGCUCAGAAAUAAAUGGCUCCGGCAUGGGCGAGACGCUAAUUUUGGUCCUCCCCUUAAUGAUCCACAGUAUCCACACCCUGGCUGCACAGUGCUCUCUACUCUGUGCACCGCUUACUGCUGGUCCAGGUUUCCCCUAGGCCUGGUGCCGGUAAUAUUUUCACUGAUGAUAAAAUCAAAAAAGAAGACACAAUAUCCUCACGUCAUCAAACACUAUGAUAAAGAGUAAAUACACUGCACUGUGUCUUUCUCAAAGAAUUGUUGGGAUUUAACCAACAACCUUUCAACCCCCAUUACCUCCUGAGCCACAACUGCUCCGACUGAACUUUAGUUGAACUUACUCUGGUGCUGUAAUGACAUUAAGAACUGAUGCUGGACUUACUGUGAGCCCUCAUAUAAUGUAGCUUUUAUUACGUCUCAUGUUCAGCUCAGAGUGUCUCCUUAAUGUCCUGUACUGAGGUAUCAACCAGUUCUCCACAUGUUGAGGCAGGACAGACUGGGGGACUUUUCACUUGUUGUUGGCCUGUGAAGCCCAUCAGUGGAUGUUGGACUGGAUCAAUAAGCUAGACUUCCUGUCAACAUCCAGGUGGUCUUUUCUUUCUUUGAGGGACAAUUUACAGUUAAUUGCUUCUGUAAAUGCAAUAUUUCAGACAUGUGAGAAGGUGUUGAAACAGCACAGAAGUAAAACAUUUAACCAAAAUAAGCACUGAACAUACAGAUCAUCAGAUAAUAACUGGAUGAUGCUGCUGGAGUAGAUGAAGUUUCAAAAACAUCUUAUAUGUUUCUGUGGUCUGAUUCUGGCCGACCACUUGAUGACUUUCUAACAGCUUUUAAUCUGAGCUGUGUAGUUUCUGGGCUCUCUUCAUCAAAGGUGUCGGCAUGUAGUAAGUUGAUAAAGGAAUCUCCGGAGGCAAGGCUGGGUGGAAUGAUAGAGCAAUCUUUAUUGAAACAGAUCUCAAGCCUGCGUCUGAUCCAGAAGCGGCCGCUUGCUGGUAUUC